CCGACUGCUGGGCAGUAGCGGCGGGAAUAGGUGGGGGGCUCGCGUGGUGCGGAUUCUUUGGGCGUAAAAGGUGCGUGGGCGGUGCGGGAAUUCGGGUGGGAAAUCUCCGCGCUCAACGCGGAGCGGCCACCUGAUACUGCCGAGCCUCGAGUCCGGUAGGGGAGUGUGGAAUUCCCGGUGUAGCGGUGAAAUGCGCAGAUAUCGGGAGGAACACCAGUAGCGGAGGCGGCACUCUGGGCCGUGACUGACGCUGAGGAGCGAAAGCGUGGGUAGCAAACAGGAUUAGAUACCCUUGUAGUC
rnacentral:rRNA from 1 species